rnacentral:rRNA from 1 species
UGCAAGUCGAACGAUGAAAUCACUUCGGUGGUGGAUUAGUGGCGAACGGGUGAGUAACACGUGGGCAAUCUGCCCUUCACUCUGGGACAAGCCCUGGAAACGGGGUCUAAUACCGGAUACCACCCUGUCCCGCAUGGGACGGGGUUGAAAGCUCCGGCGGUGAAGGAUGAGCCCGCGGCCUAUCAGCUUGUUGGUGGGGUAAUGGCCUACCAAGGCGACGACGGGUAGCCGGCCUGAGAGGGCGACCGGCCACACUGGGACUGAGACACGGCCCAGACUCCUACGGGAGGCAGCAGUGGGGAAUAUUGCACAAUGGGCGAAAGCCUGAUGCAGCGACGCCGCGUGAGGGAUGACGGCCUUCGGGUUGUAAACCUCUUUCAGCAGGGAAGAAGCGCAAGUGACGGUACCUGCAGAAGAAGCGCCGGCUAACUACGUGCCAGCAGCCGCGGUAAUACGUAGGGCGCAAGCGUUGUCCGGAAUUAUUGGGCGUAAAGAGCUCGUAGGCGGCUUGUCACGUCGGAUGUGAAAGCCCGGGGCUUAACCCCGGGUCUGCAUUCGAUACGGGCUAGCUAGAGUGUGGUAGGGGAGAUCGGAAUUCCUGGUGUAGCGGUGAAAUGCGCAGAUAUCAGGAGGAACACCGGUGGCGAAGGCGGAUCUCUGGGCCAUUACUGACGCUGAGGAGCGAAAGCGUGGGGAGCGAACAGGAUUAGAUACCCUGGUAGUCCACGCCGUAAACGUUGGGAACUAGGUGUUGGCGACAUUCCA